GCAGGGAACGGGGCGAGGGCUCCCGGCCGCUCAUCUCGUCUCGCUGUUUUUCAUUUUCGUACAUUUUUUGAAUCGCUAUUUUUUAUCUUUACACAAAGAGUACCCUUCUCGCAGGAAAAGCAUCCCACGGCGCUGUCACCGCCGCUACCCGUGCCUCCGCCCGCGGCCCUCUGCUCCUCCGCGGACACUUUUCUCCCCGGCCCCCGGGGGACUGGAUCUGGACCCGGUGCCGCUCUGCCCGGCUCUGGGGACAGGUUUGGUCUCGCAGCCGUCUGCUACUGGAGGAGGCAACACGGGAGCGUGGCCUGGCAGGUGCCUGGGAGGCAGGGAUAGCCCUGCUCUGCCCUGCCGCCUCCCAAGAGCGCGAUCUCCGGCACCGGGAAGUCCCGGUCGCAGCUGGAGAACAAAGUACGGCCGGGGCGAUCGGCGGGGAAAAUGAGCAGGGCAAGGUUUUGUUUUGCGUCGGGUUUCACAGAACCGAAAGCCGGUCCUCUUCCCCUGCAGGCGAACGGGUAUAUGACUCAAACAUGUCCUUGCUCCCCUACCUGCAUCCCCUCGGUUCUCUUAAUGAAAUCAUACAGCAGCAGAAAGGGUCGCGAGGAAUUUUCAUAUAGCCCCUGCUGAAGACUUAGUAAGAUGCUCUGUACUGCAAAAUAGCGUUUGCAUUGCGGGAGUACAGUUGUGGUGAAAAGGAGAUUUUUUGCCAUCUGUGUUUCACAGAAAUCCUGCGGUGCGAACCUUGCACUGGGAACAGCAGGGAUGGACCAAAGGAGAGUGAGUAGUCCCCACAUCUCUUCUGUCUAGGUUUUCCCAGAUACAAGAUGCUACCUUUCUACACCACAAACUAGGACAGCAGUCACUGGGGGACCACCUCCAGAACCCAUCAUCUGUGCAUAGGCUGCUGGGGGGAUCAAAUUCCAUCACAGCAGCCUCCAGGGAGGAAUCAGAAAAGGCUGAUUUCCUUAGCUGGUUCUUGCAAAAGCUGCACUGUUCUGCACACUUUCUGAUGGCAAUACAAGAUGCCAAAAACACUGUGCCACAGUCACACAUCCGAUUUUCCCUUACUCCAGUGCAUUCUGUGGUUUUCAGUACCCAAGCUGAUUUGGAACGUGAGUAGGUUUUUAGCAGAAAAGCAGAUAGAAUAUAGGAUAUACACAGCUAAUUAAUGACAUAUCUCCACUGAACAGCCUCGUUUUAAACUCAUAGCGAUAUAGUCCAUGCUGCCACCUAUGUCUUCUGAUUCACAAUGUUUCUUGUGUACUGCAACUUUGAUUCAUACUCAUCCUUCCCAGAAGGCAGCUCACAUUUUGUUAGGCUCCACAAAGGACCACAAACAGGCAGCUCUGGCUGCGCUACAGAAUGAAGCAAAAGGUUUCUCAGCAACUCAGCCACUUGUUUGGUUGCAGUGAGGAUGCCUAGAUGCAGAUGAGGAACCAGCAGUCACAUCAGUGAAAUGCAAGUAGCGGCUGGAGCCUUGUCUGUGUGAAGGAUCCUGCCAGCACAGCUGUACCCCUAACAGCAGUGGAAUAUUUUGCUCUAUUUCUCUAGAGGAAUCAAAGUAUUUUGUCUCUUGCUCUCUCUUUUUUCUAUUGCUCCCAUCUCAUUAAAAGUCAGCCACGCACAGCACACAGUUGCUCUCUGUGUUUAAAAAAUAUGUUCGGGAUUAAAGAUCAACAGCCAAAGCUAUUUUGAAGUCAGAGGGGCUGAUUCCUGAAGUGAGGAACCAAACAGCAUGGAACCAAAGUGGUCACACUGGCUUUUGAAAAAAGUGAGUGUCUCAAGUUAACUGACAGUCAGCUACCUGCAAAUAAAAACCUCUCAUAUAUCCAAAGGUUUUCACUGGGAUUUUCAAGAUCUCCUGAGCAAUUUAAAAUCCUUGAAAGGAAUGCACUAUAGAAUGAAAAAUGUAAGUAUUAUUAAAGAAUGUCUCUGAACUGAAAGCCAGCCAGUUUCAUAAAAAUGAGCUAAAAAAGUAAUAACAGGUACCGUGUCUCCUGCUGGAUGCCGUAUGAACCGUAUGUUUUGUAUUUUGGAAGUCACUCUGAAACAAUGUUUUUUUUCUUCACUAUUGCUGUUGGGAAGAACAGUAGAAGAACUAUGUAUAAAUGAGAUUAAAGUAAUCUAAUUAAAAAAAAUAAACAAUGUGCUUUCAUCUUCAA